CAGUCGCCACGGUAAAACAGAGGGUGCGAGCGUUAAUCGGAUUUACUGGGCGUAAAGCGUGCGUAGGCGGCUAAUUGAGUCGGAUGUGAAAUCCCCGAGCUUAACUUGGGAAUUGCAUUCGAUACUGGUUAGCUAGAGUGUGGGAGAGGAUGGUAGAAUUCCAGGUGUAGCGGUGAAAUGCGUAGAGAUCUGGAGGAAUACCGAUGGCGAAGGCAGCCAUCUGGCCUAACACUGACGCUGAGGUACGAAAGCAUGGGGAGCAAACAGGAUUAGAUACCCCUGUAGUCCCUGUCUCUUAUAC
rnacentral:rRNA from 1 species